UACGGAGGAUCCGAGCGUUAUCCGGAUUUAUUGGGUUUAAAGGGUGCGUAGGCGGAAGCUUAAGUCAGUUGUGAAAGUUUGCGGCUCAACCGUAAAAUUGCAGUUGAUACUGGGUUUCUUGAGUGCAGUAGAGGUAGGCGGAAUUCGUGGUGUAGCGGUGAAAUGCUUAGAUAUCACGAAGAACUCCGAUUGCGAAGGCAGCUUACCAGUCUGCGACUGACGCUCAUGCACGAAAGCGUGGGUAUCGAACAGG
rnacentral:rRNA from 1 species